rnacentral:rRNA from 11 species
UUUUAGAACUCUACACUCCAAACAGACAAACCAUCAGAUCCUGUCUGAUCUUGGAAGCUAAGCUGGGUCUGCUCUGGUUAGUACCUGAAUGGGAGACUGUCAAUGGACACAGGGUUCUGUAAU